UGCAGAGGUCUCAAGCGUUGUUCGGAUUCAUUGGGCGUAAAGGGCGCGUAGGCGGCUUUCUAAGUCGAACGUGAAAUCCCUGGGCUCAACCCAGGAACUGCGUCCGAGACUGGAAGGCUUGAAUCCGGGAGAGGGAUGUGGAAUUCCAGGUGUAGCGGUGAAAUGCGUAGAUAUCUGGAGGAACACCGGUGGCGAAGGCGGCAUCCUGGACCGGUAUUGACGCUGAGGCGCGAAAGCCAGGGGAGCAAACGGG
rnacentral:rRNA from 1 species